rnacentral:rRNA from 1 species
CCUAUCAACGUUCGAUGGUACGAUAGGGGCCUACCAUGGUGGUGACAGGUGACGGAGAAUUAGGGUUCGAUUCCA